UACAGGGGGUGCAAACGUUGCUCGGAAUCAUUGGGCGUAAAGCGCACGUAGGCGGUUCGUUAUGUCGGAUGUGAAAGCCCUUGGCUUAACCGAGGAAGUGCAUCCGAAACUGGCGAGCUAGAGUAUUAAAGAGGAUCGCGGAAUUCCCGGUGUAGAGGUGAAAUUCGUAGAUAUCGGGAGGAACACCGGUGGCGAAGGCGGCGAUCUGGGUAGAUACUGACGCUGAGGUGCGAAAGCGUGGGGAGCAAACAGG
rnacentral:rRNA from 1 species